rnacentral:rRNA from 1 species
UCUAGCGGCGGACGGGUGAGUAAUGCGUAGGAAGCUACCCGAUAGAGGGGGAUACCAGUUGGAAACGACUGUUAAUACCGCAUAAUGUCUACGGACCAAAGUGUGGGACCUUCGGGCCACAUGCUAUCGGAUGCGCCUACGUGGGAUUAGCUAGUUGGUGAGGUAAUGGCUCACCAAGGCGACGAUCUCUAGCUGGUUUGAGAGGAUGAUCAGCCACACUGGAACUGAGACACGGUCCAGACUCCUACGGGAGGCAGCAGUGGGGAAUAUUGGACAAUGGGCGCAAGCCUGAUCCAGCCAUGCCGCGUGUGUGAAGAAGGCCUUCGGGUUGUAAAGCACUUUCAGCGAGGAGGAAGGGGUUGUAGUUAAUAGCUGCAACCUUUGACGUUACUCGCAUAAGAAGCACCGGCUAACUCUGUGCCAGCAUCCGCGGUAAUACAGAGGGUGCAAGCGUUAAUCGGAAUUACUGGGCGUAAAGCGCACGCACGCGGUUGGUUAAGUCAGAUGUGAAAGCCCCGGGCUCAACCUGGGAAUUGCAUUUGAAACUGGCCAACUAGAGUAUGUGAGAGGGGGGUAGAAUUCCAACUGUACCGGAUGAAUGCAUCGAGAUUUUGGAGGAAUACCAGUGGGCGAAUGCCGGCGCCCUGCCACAAUACUGACGCUCAUGCUGCUAUAUCGUGGGGAAGCAACAGGAUUACAAAAUCUGGGUAGU